GGUCUCGUGGCCGAGUGGCUAGGCAGAGCUCUGCAAAAGCUUCUACAGCAGUUCGAAUCUGCUCGAGACCUCCA
rnacentral:tRNA from 1 species